GAAUGAGAUGAUGAUUCUGAAUGUUUCCCUAUUGGUUUGAUUCGCCGAUAUGAUGGCGUCUGGAAACGUAUUAGCUCUAUCUGAUCAUUC